UGGUGCUUUGUAACAAAUAAAUAAAAAUGUAAAGGGAGACUAUACGUAUAUUUUUGCUUUCAUAAACCAAAUGUACCGCCAAUAACGAUCUUUAUCAAUGUGAGUUGGUGGUGUGAAUGAGGGUGAACAAUCUGGCAACCAGGCUACAAAGCUCAAAGCAACAUUGGUUGUAUUGAUUUGAAUGUGGGAAAUUAGUAGUUGCUGGUUAUCAUUUUAAAUACGAUUUUCGCUUAAAGGAAUUGUUGAAUCGAGUUUUUAGCAUGACAUCAAUUUAAAUUUGGUAACUUCAAUACUCAGGUCAAGAUGAUUUGAAUGGGCAUUGUGCAUAUGAUUAUGGCCUACUCCUAGCUUAUGAAGUCGAUAGUGACCCUACCUAGUAAGAACUGCCUGUACUGCCUACACAGCAGGACGUCCCGGCUUGGAAUCCUGGUAAGGUCAUUGUAAAAACAUGAUUCAGUACUAAUACCACUUAAAAAAAUUAAUAUGAUGUCCUCGUUCUUUUUGAUAUAGGUACUAAGAAAUGUUGUUUUUCUACGGUGCCGUAGUAAAACUUCAGCAUAAGACAAUUACCUAACUUUCCACGUAACUAUCCAAGUCGAGAGUAUAAGUCGUUAGAACGUAAAGGGCCACUGGCUUAAGUUGAACUCUUAACCAGGCAGGUGUUGCCAAAGGCAAACUUUACGAGUUUGGUGCGCUUCUAACCAACUGUGCGGAGUGUCGCCGGCAUACAUCACGUUCGGAGCCCGCCAAUUUGUCUGUCAUUUGCCAAAUCCGAACGCGGCUCGAAUAACGCCCUCCGUGCGUCCGUAAAUUCAGUAUGUUUAGUGUCACGUGGGUCUAUUCGCCGAGUCGCGUAGUAUACUCACUGGGUAAUCCGGAACGUAAUAAAAAGAAUAAACUUUUUUCCGAUUCUGAAACCGUUUUUUAUGCACGACGUUCAAGGUGCUGUAUUUAAUAUAAACUGUUCGAAAAAGUUAUGUUGAAUAUUGGGUUGAUCAAAAAGCUGUAUUGAAUUUGAAUAAGGUUUUGUUUUAAAUGUGUUAGUGUCACAAACAUUGUUAGGUAACAUGUUUUUCAUGUUAAAUAAAUACACAGAUAUAUUUAAUUAAAAUUUUGUUAAGAAAAGUGACUUUUUAUCUUG